GUGGGGAAUAUUGCACAAUGGGGGAAACCCUGAUGCAGCGACGCCGCGUGGAGGAAGAAGGUCUUCGGAUUGUAAACUCCUGUUGUUGAGGAAGAUAAUGACGGUACUCAACAAGGAAGUGACGGCUAACUACGUGCCAGCAGCCGCGGUAAAACGUAGGUCACAAGCGUUGUCCGGAAUUACUGGGUGUAAAGGGAGAGCAGGCGGGAGAACAAGUUGGAAGUGAAAUCCAUGGGCUCAAACCAUGAACUGCUUUCAAAACUGUUUUUUCUUGAGUAGUGCAGAGGUAGGCGGAAUUCCCGGUGUAGCGGUGGAAUGCGUAGAUAUCGGGAGGAACACCAGUGGCGAAGGCGGCCUACUGGGCACCAACUGACGCUGAGGCUCGAAAGUGUGGGUAGCAAACAGGAUUAGAUACCCCAGUAGUCC
rnacentral:rRNA from 1 species